rnacentral:lncRNA from 1 species
GUCGGAGAGGAAUGCCAACAUCCACUGAUGGAGGAGAAGAAAGAUGGAGGACGGGAGUGCCAGCAUCUACCAAUGGAGGAGAAGAAAUACUUUUAUUAACCAAAACAAUAAUUCACUGAUUGAGAACAAGGAAGAUGGAAGAGUACCAUCAUCUACCAAUGGAGGAGGAGGAGGAGAAAAAUGGGGGAGCACCAGCAUCCAAAAGUGUCCCACAAUCAGCCCCAGGAGGAGAUCUCAGCAGUGGAAAGAAAGACUAUUAACCAAAACAAUGUAAGUAAAACUUCUCAUUUCCUCAGAAAGACACUGAUCACAUGUUUAAUGUAUAAAUAUACGCCACGUUUUACUAACACCUAUAAAAUGUUUGAGAGGAACGCCAACAUCCACUGAUGGAGGAGAAGAAAGAUGGAGGACGGGAGUGCCAGCAUCUACCAAUGGAGGAGAAGAAAUACUUUUAUUAACCAAAACAAUGUAAGUAAAACCUCUCGUUUACACAGAAAGACACUGGACACGUUUAUUGUAAAAAAAUGACAUUACUUUAUCAUAAUGCCAGUAAAAUGUUUGACUUGAAUACCAGAAUUCACUGAUUGAGAACAAGGAAGAUGGAAGAGUACCAUCAUCUACAAAUGGAGGAGGAGGAGGAGAAAAAUGGGGGAGCACCAGCAUCCAAAAGUGUCCCACAAUCAGCCCCAGGAGGAGAUCUCAGCAGUGGAAAGAAAGACUAUUAACCAAAGCAAUGUAAGUAAAACUUCUCAUUUCCUCAGAAAGACACUCACAUGUUUAAUGUAUAAAUAUACGCCACGUUUUACUAACACCUAUAAAAUGUUGGAGAGGAACGCCAACAUCCACUGAUGGAGGAGAAGAAAGAUGGAGGACGGGAGUGCCAGCAUCUACCAAUGGAGGAGAAGAAAUACUUUUAUUAACCAAAACAAUGUAAGUCAAACCUCUCGUUUACACAGAAAGACACUGGACACGUUUAUUGUAAAAAAUGACUUUCUAAAAAUGCUUGUAAAAUGUUGGACUUGAACACCAGAAUCCAC